rnacentral:rRNA from 1 species
UACGUAGGUGACAAGCGUUGUCCGGAUUUACUGGGCGUAAAGAGCGCGCAGGCGGUCGACCAAGUCGAGUGUGAAAGCCCCCGGCUCAACUGGGGAGGGUCAUUCGAUACUGAUCGACUCGAAGGCAGGAGAGGGUAGUGGAAUUCCCGGUGUAGUGGUGAAAUGCGUAGAUAUCGGGAGGAACACCAGUGGCGAAGGCGACUACCUGGCCUGUUCUUGACGCUGAGGCGCGAAAGCUAGGGGAGCAAACAGG